UACGAAGGGGGCUAGCGUUAUUCGGAUUUACUGGGCGUAAAGCGCACGUAGGCGGAUCGUUAAGUCGGGGGUGAAAUCCUGGAGCUCAACUCCAGAACUGCCUUCGAUACUGGCGAUCUUGAGUCCGGAAGAGGUGAGUGGAACUCCUAGUGUAGAGGUGGAAUUCGUAGAUAUUAGGAAGAACACCAGUGGCGAAGGCGGCUCACUGGUCCGGUACUGACGCUGAGGUGCGAAAGCGUGGGGAGCAAACAGG
rnacentral:rRNA from 1 species